rnacentral:rRNA from 1 species
AUGAACGCUAGCUACAGGCUUCACACAUGCCAGUCGAGGGGAAACGGCAUCGAAAGCUUGCUUUUGAUGGGCGUCGACCGGCGCACGGGUGAGUAACGCGUAUCCAACCUGCCCAUCACUUGGGAAUAACCUUGCGAAAGUAAGACUAAUGCCCAAUGACAUCCCACGAAGGCAUCCGAAUGGGAUUAAAGAUUUAUCGGUGAUGGAUGGGGAUGCGUCUGAUUAGCUUGUUGGCGGGGUGACGGCCCACCAAGGCAACGAUCAGUAGGGGUUCUGAGAGGAAGGUCCCCCACAUUGGAACUGAGACACGGUCCAAACUCCUACGGGAGGCAGCAGUGAGGAAUAUUGGUCAAUGGGCGAGAGCCUGAACCAGCCAAGUAGCGUGCAGGAUGACGGCCCUAUGGGUUGUAAACUGCUUUUAUAAGGGAAUAAAGUGGGUCACGUGUGACUUUUUGCAUGUACCUUAUGAAUAAGGACCGGCUAAUUCCGUG